rnacentral:rRNA from 1 species
GAUGAACGCUGGCGGCGUGCCUAAUACAUGCAAGUCGAGCGAACGGACGAGAAGCUUGCUUCUCUGAUGUUAGCGGCGGACGGGUGAGUAACACGUGGAUAACCUACCUAUAGGACUGGGAUAACUUCGGGAAACCGGAGCUAAUACCGGAUAAUAUUUUGAACCGCAUGGUUCAAAAGUGAAAGACGGUCUUGCUGUCACUUAUAGAUGGAUCCGCGCCGCAUUAGCUAGUUGGUAAGGUAACGGCUUACCAAGGCAACGAUGCAUAGCCGACCUGAGAGGGUGAUCGGCCACACUGGAACUGAGACACGGUCCAGACUCCUACGGGAGGCAGCAGUAGGGAAUCUUCCGCAAUGGGCGAAAGCCUGACGGAGCAACGCCGCGUGAGUGAUGAAGGUCUUCGGAUCGUAAAACUCUGUUAUUAGGGAAGAACAUAUGUGUAAGUAACUGUGCACAUCUUGACGGUACCUAAUCAGAAAGCCACGGCUAACUACGUG